rnacentral:rRNA from 1 species
UACGUAGGGCGCAAGCGUUGUCCGGAAUUAUUGGGCGUAAAGAGCUCGUAGGCGGCUUGUCACGUCGAUUGUGAAAGCCCGAGGCUUAACCUCGGGUCUGCAGUCGAUACGGGCUAGCUAGAGUGUGGUAGGGGAGAUCGGAAUUCCUGGUGUAGCGGUGAAAUGCGCAGAUAUCAGGAGGAACACCGGUGGCGAAAGCGGCUCACUGGACCAUUACUGACGCUGAGGCACGAAAGCUAGGGGAGCAAACAGG